UGCUUCUCCUGCUUAGCCACUUCUAGGGAACCGGCGGUUGAGCGUCGGCCGCCAAGUACUGAAACUGUGAGGGCACAGCGGGCCGCCGGCAUGGGCUCCUCCCGCCGCUCUGCAACCGGGCCGGCCUUUCUAACAAGAGCUAGACUUUGGGAUCCUUGAGGAUAUUCAGCCAUGCACUUUUGAAUAUCCAUUCACCAUAUUCAAUAUGAGAUAACAUUCUUAAUGAUUAUCCUCAGUAGGACAGAUCAAAUACAGAGUUUCACAUCAAAGCCAUCAGCGCUGUCAAAAAAUUCAGUUUCUUUGAGAUCGAAUUGCCAAAGCUCCAAAAAUAUGGACUAUCUCCCUACCAAGAAUUUCCGGCAUUGAAGGUCUGGAUCCCAACAGGAUGCCUGGCUCAUGGGAAUAUCUGGAAAGUCAUGUGCUGGUGGAAUGAAUGCUGGCCAGGGCAGCUAUGCCCAAGCCUCAAGCAGGUCUGGGAACAGCAAAA